rnacentral:rRNA from 1 species
CAGUCGCCGCGGUAAUACGAAGGGGGCUAGCGUUGUUCGGAAUCACUGGGCGUAAAGGGUGCGUAGGCGGAUUCUUAAGUCAGGGGUGAAAUCCCGAGGCUCAACCUCGGAACUGCCUUUGAUACUGGGGAUCUUGAGUCCGGAAGAGGUGAGUGGAACUGCGAGUGUAGAGGUGAAAUUCGUAGAUAUUCGCAAGAACACCAGUGGCGAAGGCGGCUCACUGGUCCGGAACUGACGCUGAGGCACGACAGCGUGGGGAGCAAACAGGAUUAGAUACCCCCGUAGUCCCUGUCUCUUAUAC